AAUUACUCACGAGAAAUUUCAUGUUGCGAGUGCAAUGUAAUGUGUAGCGACGGUUGGUUCGCGACUGAAACUGAUGCAGGUCGGAUAGAAUACACCCCUUUUAUACUAUUCGAGCCUUUUUCUUGCGGUAUCGCAUCCCGGCGAAGUUGAAUUACGCGUGUGUGUGCACUUGUCUACACGCCUUUCUAAUACGUUGUUUUCCCGUCGCUGUCUUGUCACGAAAAUUUUUCAACGCGAGGCUACCGGCCACCGCCAUGAUAUUAGCCGCACGGUACCGUCAAUUCGGUUGGAAUAAAAUAGUUUCAUUAUUCAAAGUUUUGUAAACAACUUUCAAAAUGCAAUAAAUAUUUCCCGUCAGAACGAUUCCAUGCAAUAUUUUCUGAUUGAUUAAUGGCUCGCCCAAUAUGCAUCGCCGGUUUUAAUAUCAUGUGACUCAACUCUAGAGCUCGAUAGGAAUCUGAAAAGCAGAAGAUAUAAAGGUAGGUUGAUUUGAUCGGCAUUUUUCUCGUUUGUUUCGUUGUAAAAGUAAUUAUACCAUUACGAUUACGUAAACGGAACGCAGUCGGCAAAAGUUGAACAAAUUUCUU
rnacentral:misc_RNA from 1 species